AAUAAGUUCAUUUACAGUUUUUGAAAUACAAUGUUUGAUUCUUCGUCUUAUUUGAAAUUUUUUUGAUUAAUAUUUCUAUUUUUACUAGAUGAUAAAACAUGAAUAGUACUUUACGCAUGAUUAAUUUUUUAAGUUUUUCUACAAAUUUUUCAAAUAAGACAAAUGGUCAAACUUUGGGCAUAGAAAUCGAAAAAUGAACUUACU
rfam:Oryza brachyantha chromosome 1, whole genome shotgun sequence.